GAGGAUAUAGCUCAGUGGUAGAGCACAUGCUUAGCAUGCAAAAGGUCCUAGGUUCAAUCCCCAGUACCUCCA
rnacentral:tRNA from 1 species